rnacentral:rRNA from 1 species
UACGUAGGGGGCUAGCGUUGUCCGGAUUUAUUGGGCGUAAAGAGCGUGUAGGCGGCCAGGUAGGUCUGCUGUGAAAACUCGAGGCUCAACCUCGAGACGUCGGCGGAAACCAUCUGGCUAGAGUCCGGAAGAGGAGAGUGGAAUUCCUGGUGUAGCGGUGAAAUGCGCAGAUAUCAGGAGGAACACCAAUGGCGAAGGCAGCACUCUGGGACGUGACUGACGCUGAGGCGCGAAAGCGUGGGGAGCGAACAGG